UAUAUAUAUAUAUAUACAGUACUAGUGUUGGAACGCUACAGAGAGGAUUAGUAUGGUGCCUGCACUGGGAUGACUUACAAAUUCGUGAAGCAUUCCAUAUUUAU